UACGUAGGGUGCAAGCGUUAAUCGGAAUUACUGGGCGUAAAGCGUGCGCAGGCGGUUUUGUAAGUCUGACGUGAAAUCCCCGGGCUCAACCUGGGAAUUGCGUUGGAGACUGCAAGGCUAGAAUCUGGCAGAGGGGGGUAGAAUUCCAGGUGUAGCGGUGAAAUGCGUAGAUAUCUGGAGGAACACCGGUGGCGAAGGCGGCAUCCUGGACCAAUUCUGACGCUGAGUGAGCGAAAGCCAGGGGAGCAAACGGG
rnacentral:rRNA from 1 species